CCCCUAAAUGACAUCCGUCAUUGUUAUUGUUGAUUGUUUUUAUAGAUAAGCCAAGACGAAGUUUAGUGUCCUUUCUCGGGUUUAUUAUUUAAUUCAAAGUGGAAUAUGAUCUUGUUACAGUGUCAUGAGUGUUUGUAAAGUGUCAUGGAAGAAUUGGUCGGAGAUGAGGCAGUGCAAUUGUUUAUGAAUUUCAGUCGAAGUGACUUUGUAGGAGGAAUUGACAAUGAAGCCCUGGAUUUUAGUCAACUUGAGGACUAUAUCAACGAUGAGACGGAUAGUAGUAACACGUAUUUUGGUAGCACGUUAGCACACACGGGAAUGUAGCCCCUGUGGUGGUGAGCGUGGGUGUGGGCGUGGAGGGAGGGAGCAGCACCCUCCAUAUCCCGGCGACGGCCAAUCAAGUAGCACACCACGCUAGCUUCCCAGCCAAUAAUACUCCCAGCAAUGGCGUUCCUGUUCCCGUCCCCGGCACCGAUUCGACCAACAACUUCUCACACCCACACAACUUGCCGGAAAGCCCGCCGGACUCCGGAUCAGAGCCGCCAUAUUCGCCACAGGACUCGAACGUUCAUUCACCUCGUAAGUUUCUCUCCUUUGCUAUCUAUUUCAGGCUGAUUGUCGCAAGUUUUACCUCUUUUAAGGAGUUGUGGGUGAAAUGCAUGCGUUAUGUCACGCG
rnacentral:lncRNA from 1 species